rnacentral:rRNA from 1 species
CUACGGGGGGCUCCAGUGGGGAAUAUUGCACAAUGGAGGAAACUCUGAUGCAGCAACGCCGCGUGGAGGAUGACACUUUUCGGAGCGUAAACUCCUUUUAUAUAGGAAGAAGAUGACGGUACUAUAUGAAUAAGCGCCGGCUAACUCCGUGCCAGCAGCCGCGGUAAUACGGAGGGCGACAAGCGUUACUCGGAAUCACUGGGCGUAAAGAGCGUGUAGGCGGAUUAAAAGUCAGAAGUGAAAUCCUAUAGCUUAACUAUAGAACUGCUUCUGAAAUCUCUUAAUCUAGAAUAUGGGAGAGGUAGAUGGAAUUUCUGGUGUAGGGGUAAAAUCCGUAGAGAUCAGAAGGAAUACCGAUUGCGAAGGCGAUCUACUAGAACAUUAUUGACGCUGAGACGCGAAAGCGUGGGGAGCAAACAGGAUUAGAUACCCGGGUAGUC